GUAAAUUUCGAACGCGAUUUUAUUCCCGGUAAACUGUAUUCGAGUAAAAUAUCGUUGAAAAUUUAAAAUAUUUACAAAAAUGGACGUUUCUUUCAACGGAAAUUACAGACGGCGCCACUGGAUUUCUUCCGAUUUGAAAAAUGUUCCGUUAAAAUCGAACGGCCGAAAGACGUUUGACUCGACGACGAGAAGAAAAAUGGAAUACAUUUUCUGUCAUUAAUUCAUUUUGUGAAAGGCCAAUUGUUCCGAGGAGAAAUCGAAGAAAAGCUGUCGGCCAUUUAAAGUGUCGAUUCGAAGAAGAAAAUCUCUUUGACGAUUAUAUUAGAAAGGAAAAAAGAAGGAAGAUUUCCUCGGAAGCCGAAGACGAUUUCUCGGGUAACAUUUCGCGAAAUAUCGAAUGGCCCUAGAUUUUGGCUUGUGGAGUGGUAAAGAUUAUUGAAAGUGCUCUAAGUCUCUUCGUCGACUGAAGUUUCUUGAGUUAAUGUUGACGAACGUAGAUAAUUCUGUCAUUUUUUCUCCAGCAUUUUUCAAAUCACAAUUUUCGAGAAAAGGUUAGAAAUUAUUGAAGAAUUUGAAAUUAUAAAAACAAUCGAAGAUGUAAAUACGAAAAUGAAAGGAAAGGAUCUCCGUAAAAUACGAUUUCGAACCCGGCUUUAAUUUUAUGGCGUGACGUGUCCAAGAAAGAAUUUCUAAAAUUAUUUCAAUUGUUAUAUAAAAUAAUGUAUGACGUAAUUCUCGUAUCUGAUUUUAUUCCGAACUUUGUUAUUUUCAGAUUCACUUUCAACCAAUAAAGAACGUCUUUGUAAUAGAGAAUUGUUUCCGGGGACACACGAAAACUACUGAAGGAUGUGUUCGACUUCUGUCGUUAAAGAAACACUAAAAUUGAAGCCAGUGUUAAGAAAAUACACAAGAAUAUAACAACAAAGAAACCAUCUUUCCAGCAAAUGAAGAAAAAGAGAAAAAUUAAGAAGAUAUUUUAAAUUAUUUUCGAAUAUGUUAUUUUGCGACAUACACUUCACAUAAAUUGUUUAGAAAAAAAUGUAUAAAUGACAUUAAUUUGUGACUGUAUUGUAUUUGUACGCGUUUGGCAAUAUUUGUGAAUACCGGCGUAAGCAGUUUGUGUGUGAUCUAAGGUGUGAUGUGAUGUGAUCCAGUUAAUUGUAAGGUUUAAAUUUUAGUUUAAAGAAAUUUGAUAGAAGGAAAAGUCUUUUUGUAUCUGCACUCAAAACUUUAACAGUUCUUUAGAAUUAGUACGCUUAAAUUUAAACAUUUGAUUGACAAUAAAUUGAAGGGAGUUUUGAUCAUUAAGUUUUAAAAUUUCUGAUAUUUUACAGGUUUAAACCUCCAGAAGAGAAAGAAUGGGAAGUAUCGAUGUGACAGUUGCGAGAAAGAGUUCGCUUCGAAGUAUAAUUUAAAAUAUCAUCAAACGAUUCACACUGGAGAAGGGCUAUUGUCUUGCAAAUUUUGUACU